rnacentral:lncRNA from 1 species
AUUCUGAAGAGUCAUUUAAAACAUCAACUUUGGGCCAGGUGCAGCGGCUCUUGCCUGUAUUCCCAGCACUUUGGGAGGCCGAGGUGGGAAAAUCAGCUUGAGUCCAGGAGUUGGAGACCAGCCUGGACAACAUAGCAAGACCUCAUCUCUACUAAAGAUAAAAAAAAUUAGCUGAGCAUGGUGGUGCACAUCUGUAGUCCCAGCUACUCAAGAGGCCAAGGCGGGAGGAUGGCUUGAGCCCAGGAGUUCAGGGCUACAGAGAGCUAUGAUUGAGCCACUGCACUGCAGCCUAGGAGGAGACUCUGUUACCAAAACAAAACAAAACAAAACAAAAAAACUUUGACAGAUAUUAUUAUGAUUGUAUCAGCUUUCUUUCUUUUCUUGUUUUUUAUUUAUUUAUUUAUUUAUUUUUGAGACAGGGUCUUGCUCUGUCGCCCAGGCUGGAGUGCAGUGAUGCUAUCUCGGCUCACUGCAACCUCCGCCUCCCGGGUUCAAAGAAACUUUUGAAUCUGUGGUUUUUUUAAAACUGAUUUUUGUACAUUGUUAGUAUUUCUUUAAAUAUUUCUUCUGCCAUCUCUCUUUCCUGAAGACUCCAAUUACACAUAUGUAAACCGUUUCAUAAUGUUCCCUGUAUCUUUUAGGUUUUUUCCCUACAUUUUCCAUUAUAUUUUUUCUUUGUGAUUCAAUUGGAAUAUUUUUUUCCAGAGAGGUUUUCCAGUUCGCUAAUUCUCUCAGCAGUUGUUAAACUCAAGUACUGAAUUAUUAAUUUUAAUUAAUUAAUUUUUUUCUUUUAAUUCAAUAAUAGCUUUUGGGAACUAAAUCCACAUACCAUAAAAUCUUUUACAGUGUAUAAUUCAGUAGUUUUUCAAUAUAGUCCUAGAGUCGUACAACCAUCACCACAAUCUAAUUUCAGAACAUUUUCAUCAUCCCAAAAAGAAACUCCAAGUACAUUAGCAGUCAUCCCCUAUUCUCUCCUCUUCCCAGACCCUGGCAACCACUAAACACUACUUUCUGUCUGUAUGAGUUGCCUAUUCUGGACAUUUCAUAUAAAUGGAAUCAUACAAUAGGUAGCCUUUCAUGACUGGCUUCUUUCACUUGGCCUUUGUUAUCAAGGCUCAAUCAUGUUGCAGCAUGUGUCGGUACUUCAUUCCUUUUUAUGGCAGA